rnacentral:rRNA from 1 species
UGGGGAAUUUUGGACAAUGGGCGAAAGCCUGAUCCAGCAAUGCCGCGUGUGUGAAGAAGGCCUUCGGGUUGUAAAGCACUUUUGUCCGGAAAGAAAUCCUUGGCUCUAGUACAGUCGGGGGAUGACGGUACCGGAAGAAUAAGCACCGGCUAACUACGUGCCAGCAGCCGCGGUAAUACGUAGGGUGCAAGCGUUAAUCGGAAUUACUGGGCGUAAAGCGUGCGCAGGCGGUUUGCUAAGACCGAUGUGAAAUCCCCGGGCUCAACCUGGGAACUGCAUUGGUGACUGGCAGGCUAGAGUACGGCAGAGGGGGGUAGAAUUCCACGUGUAGCAGUGAAAUGCGUAGAGAUGUGGAGGAAUACCGAUGGCGAAGGCAGCCCCCUGGGCCAAUANUGACGCUCAUGCACGAAAGCGUGGGGAGCAAACAGGAUUAGAUACCCUGGUAGUCCACGCCCUAAAACGAUGUCAACUAGUUGUUGGGGGAUUCAUUUCCUUAGUAACGUAGCUAACGCGUGAAGUUGACCGCCUGGGGAGUACGGCCGCAAGGCUAAAACUCAAAGGAAUUGACGGGGUCAUAGCUGUUUCCU